AUUGACUGGGCUCAGACUGGGAUAAGUAAAAACCUGCAAAAAAGUCUUCAAAUCAUUCUGUAUCCAUAAAUACCUGUAAUUUUGAAAUUAAAAUAUUCACACCAGAAAAUAGGCAAGAACAUCUGGCAAAAUGAAUUCCUUGGAUAUCAAAAAUUUACUACAAGAAAUAUUUGGAAAACAUUUGUAAACAGAGUUAUUUUCAAAUUAAAAUCUAAUAAAUUGCAUUGCAUAUAUAGAUAUUUGUUUUAAUGUACAUGGUAUUAGGGUGUGUAUGCAGACAUAUUCAUAUACAGACCUAUGGACAGACUUUAAUACAUGAUUUAUCAUGUGACUAAAUCCUAUUCCGAGCAAUAUCUUAAAGGGGCAUUAGCUGUCAACUAGGACAUAAAAACUGUUAAUUUUGAACGGUGAUUAAAAUGUUGGAAUGCGUUAAAAAUGAAGAUAAAUCUGAGAUUAAAAUAGUGACCGCCAAUCAAAUUUUAUGAAAAUUACCGGGUAUGUAAAAUUUCUCUGCAAUGAAUUAUUACUUCCAAUAAUUUUUCAGCCAUUAUUGCUAUAUAAACAAAAGAAAUUCUAAUGUCAAAAUUACAUGUACAACAAAAAGAUUGCAAGAUGUAUGGUAUGACUUUUAAUUUGUUCAGUAGUGAUUUCAUGUACUGAAAAGCUGUUUUAAUCAUUUUGGUAACAAUGGAGAUUAUUUGAAUUCAAUGUCAAAUAAUCCAGCUUAAUUGAGUGAAGUUUCUAGUGUAUUUACUGUACUAACAUGAUAUCACUAGUACAUCGCAUAAUCUAAGAAUUUGUGGUACCACUUAUCAUCAGCUAUCGAUUUCCUCUUCCAUUUUCACUUACAAACCAACAGUAGAAGCACCUUUCCCCACCCCAUCCUCCCCAAAUUUUAUAUUGAUAAAAAAAAGAAGACAAAAAUCAAUCACUACUUGUUGUAAGUAAUUUGCUGCCAGUUUAUAUUUUAAAAUUUGCUGUCAGAAUUGAGACCUUUUUCACUGAAACCACAGAUGUCAUUACCAGGCUUUAAACUUGGACUCUAACCAAGCAAAUAAGGCACAACAAAUAUGGGUCAUCCGUGUGCUACAUAUGUAAUCCCUUAUCUUUUUAUACAUGUAGCAUUGUUACUUAAAAGGCAGGUCUAGAGGCGAAUUAACUCAGUAAAGUGUCUACAUCCAAUCUUGCCCAUUGUUCCAAUCCCAUCUGUCACACAAAGACAGAGGGCAUAAUGUUACACAUGUAUAGUGGCUCAUAUGAAACAAUAUUAAUAAAAGAUGUCCUGGUGUCCUCUCCACCUCUAUUAUCAUGGAGAGGAGACCCUGUUCCAGAGUACCAGUGGGUCCUGGUAUGUCUCACCAGGGGGAGGGGGAUCUCUAUGGAACAGGGUAAACAGUUCGGGCGGUCCCUUUCAGUAACAGAUGGUGUCAGUUUGGAAUGUGCUCAUACUAGGCCACCGGUUUGCCCGAAUACUUAAGGUCGGUACUCUGGAUAUUUUCCUUGACCUGCAAUUUUUGUACAUGUACAUGUAAAAUGUGGCCAUAACUGCCAAUUCACAAGUGUGUAUAUGUGUCCAUUUCGUCACUACCAUCGUUUUUGUGGAACUUGUUGAUUUAAAUAGAUAUACAGUGGAACUUCAGCAUCUCAAACACCGAUAUCUUGAAUACCAUGGGUAUUUCGAAGUGAUUCAGAAGUCCCAUCCACUUAUUCUUUAAGUAUUUUACUCUUGAUAUCUCGAAUCCUCAAAAUGUUUUCUCGGUCCCAUAAGUUCAAGAUAACUAGGUUUGACUGUAGUAAUCUGUCCAUAAAACGUUAAAAAAUUUGAACUUGAUCUGUAGUUUGCCACUCUGAAAUUACACUGCAUCCUUCCAAGCAUAACGGAAAAAAGACUAGAAAACCAAAGGGAUGGACAGACAGAAAGAGGGAUGGACAGACAGAAAGAGGGAUGGACAGACAGAAAGGGGGAUGGACAGACAGAGAAGGGGAUGGACAGACAGAGAAGGGGAUGGACAGACAGAAAGGGGGAUGGACAGACAGAGAAGGGGAUGGACAGACAGAGAAGGGGAUGGACAGACAGAAAGAGGGAUGGACAGACAGAGAAGAAAUCUAUAGUCCCCAUCUUUUACAAACCGGUAGAGGACUAAUAACAUAAGCAGUCAGUAUAGACCAGAAGCACCUUUGAAGCAAUGAAAAUGAACUGAUGCUGAUGAGCAUACUGUCACUGAGGUUCAGUACAUAAACCGGGCACCUGUUAGUUAUCACUGACCUGCCAAUGAUAGUGUGAAGACAAACAAGGAGGUGACCAUUCUACAUUGAUCCAGUGCCUUUUUAUGGGAUUCGAAACUGUGACUGUGAGAUGUAUGAGAGUUUGACUUCUAGGCGGGCAAUUCUACUUUCACUUUAAACGGUAAGUUGAAAAGAGCAUGCUGCAUCUUUGAUGUAAAAUAUCUCGAAAAGGAAUCAAGGACCCUAUUGCAAAUUUGGCCUUGUUGGAAAGGUUAGGAAUUUUGCUGAAAGUUGAUAUCUGUCAUUAUACUGGGAAAAUUUUUUUUUUUUGAAUUAGGAGGGGUUGAAAAUGGGUAUAUUUUCCUCAUUUUUGUUGCUUUUUUACUUCCAGGAUGGCAGGUGCCUGAGUGUAUCUCGACCCAUUUCCAGGCUAGCAUCAGAUGUCAUGAUGGACCUUUAAAAUCUUUCACAUGUGUGCUUUCAAGAACCAUAUACAUUAUUUUUGAAAAUUGGUUGCCAUGGUAAUAAAAUCUGAAAAUUAACACAUGGGCUUCUGAAGGCGAAUUUUCCUCCAUUUCCUGGUAGUUUGUGACCUUAGAUGUGUAAUAAGAUUUCGGAAUUUUCAUUUUCGCCCUGGAGGACAAAUGGGGGUUGAAAACAACGUUUUUCUACAAAAACCUGAGUUUCAUUUUACGCAGUAGCAAAAUCAUCUUUUGGAAAAGGUAAUAGGCGGUGUCCUAUAGAUGUGCACUAAGGUUUCAGAAUUUUCAUUUUCAAUCUGGGGUUAAUUAGGGGUAGAAAAAUGGCGUUUUUCUAUAGAAAAAUCUAGUUUCCAGAACUCCUCUUUUAAUACAUUUUAUGCAGUAGCCAAAUAAUAUUUUGGGAGAUGAUUGGUAGUGUCCUUUAGAUGUGCAAGAAGAUUCCGAAUUUUCUUUUUUG